AAAAAAACCACAAAAAACACAUCUUUAUUGUCUAGAAAUCUAUAUUUUCAAAAUCCCCCAGAAAAGAUGCUGUUCUCUCACUUCCCCCAUUUUCUUCCUUUUCUUCCAUACCUCUACUAUAAAGGACAUUUUUAUACCGUAUUAAAACUUCACCCAGAUGUCCAGAUAGCUCCCCACCUAUGUAUUUCUCUUAUUUGCAAGCUGCAUGUUCAUGUAGCCAUCUAAGAUGCCAGAUAGCCCUUGUACUCCAUUCCCCACUUUGUUUCAGCAUCACUGGCUUUCCUGUUAACCCACUGAGGAAAGCUUCGGGAUUGAGGGGUAGACUUACCGUAACUAUGGGCAAAUGCUGCAGGCUCCUGGACAACCUCUUGGCCCCUUUUCCUGUACCCCUUUUUGUCAUUGUUUAACAAACCACUUCCUGAUUUCCCCUUUCUCCUUGUUUUGGAAAGGGACAAUGUCUCUUGUUCAUUCCUGUGGUCCAGGCACCUGAAUGAAGGCCUGGCAACCUUCAUUCCUCCAUCCCACUUUUUAAGAAGCUUUCUCUAUGCUGAGUGCUGGGAAUAUAGACAAGUCACAGAACAAGACGCACAACCCAGGAGGGAAACAGAUGUACUUCUGGACUCACGGGCCUGGGCCCCACCCAGCACAGAUCUCUGCUGAGCAAUCUUGUCUCCACUCUGUUCCUGCCCUUUGCCCAGCCCUGGGCCUCCAAUCUGCAUUGAUUACCUGGUCUGACCUCUCUCACCAUCCCUAGGUACUUAAUAAAUAUUUGCUGUUGAUGAUAGCAAUGACCUUGAGACUGAUGAACAGUCUGGCCAAGAGGAUCCUUGAUGUGGAAGAUAGAAAAAGCCUUUGGGGUCAGGCAGACUUGGAUUCUAAUACCAGCCAGUUCCGCUUGCUGUGUCUGAGCCUCAGUUUACUCAUCUGUGAAGAGGAGGUAGCAAGAAUGAAAAUGCCUGCCUUGUGGUUUGUUGUAAGGACAGACACUGCCAACGUAGAGGGCCCAGAAGCUCACAGACCAGUUGCUCUGAGAGCAGACCACUCUUGCCCUGAUGGUAGGGAACUAUUUUUGUGUGUGGCAAGUGGGACCUUAGGAAGGGAGGCAACUGUGAGGCUUCUGAGAAGGACCCUACACAAGGGAGUUUCCUCCCAGGGCAGGUGAAUGGAGAGGGUGGCAGAAGCCUACGGGAAGGGGUCACAGGGAUCAGCUAGAGAGUGCCACCACCCUUCCUGGGGAAUGCAGGGCAAGGUCCCUGGUGGGAGUUUUCCUGGGAAGCCAAAGAAGCGCCCAACGAAGACAGAAUCAACAUUUGGGUACCUUCAGUACCCAGAGGCAGCAAUGCCAACUACAACCACACUGGAAGAAGAAGACCCUCUCCGCAUAGAUUCUCUGAUCUCUUCCUCCUUCACGGCACCAGCCCUGGGGAACCAGCAUGGUGGGGAAAUAAUGAAGCUGGAAUACAACCACUUACAGACUUCACAACCUCCUCCUGUAGAUACCAAAGGGAUUUUAGGAUCACAUUUUAUUUCUCACCUGAGCAAGAAAAGCUACAGGAGCAUCUCAAGCAGAGGGCAGGAGUCUCCAGAGGAGUUCAAGGGGCUCUGACAAGAAAAAUCAAGGGGCUGUGUUCAAGAACUGGCUCCCUUGGCGAUUAUAUUACAAAGCCCAUGUGUGCUGGACGCUGAUGAAAUUGCUGCCAAAUGCCUGUGUAGCCUUGGCAAGGCCCUUUAUUUCUCUGGGUCUCCGUUUCUCUCUCUCUUUUUUUUUUUUUUUUUUUUUUUUGAGGCAGAGUCUCACUCUGUCGCCCAGGCUGGAGGGCAGUGGCGUGAUCUCGGCUCACUGCAAGCCCCACCUUCUGAGUUCACGCCAUUCUAC
rnacentral:lncRNA from 1 species